rnacentral:rRNA from 1 species
UACAGAGGUCUCAAGCGUUGUUCGGAAUCACUGGGCGUAAAGGGUGCGUAGGCUGCGGAGUAAGUCUGGUGUGAAAUUUGCGAGCUCAACUCGCAACUAGCACCUGAUACUACUUUGCUAGAGAUCUGGAGAGGAGCUUGGAAUUCUCGGUGUAGCAGUGAAAUGCGUAGAUUUCGAGAAGAACGCUCGCUGCGAAAGCGAAGCUCUGGCCAGAUUCUGACGCUGAGGCACGAAGGCUAGGGGAGCAAACGGG